rnacentral:lncRNA from 1 species
AUUGCAAAAUUGUGUGAAGUUGACCCUUGGGUAAAAAUCAGAAUUUACAUUUUGAUUUUAAAUUUUAUAAGUACCCUUGGCUGUGUACAUUUGAGUAAAGAGCACUAUAAAAUCAAAAACCAAUGAAAUGGUUUCCAGAACACAGAACUAUUAAGCUUAAGAAAAGGACAGAAGGAACUGAAGAGAGAGGAAAUAUGUUUUGGAGCAUCACACUUCCACCUCAGAAGAAAUAAGGAAGGAAGGAGGAGGAUGUUCCCACGGCUCUUCAACCAGGCCGGCUCUUCAGCCUACAUCCCAAUCUCAUCAAGUAAAAGGGAUUUUUCAACUGGACCAAUCAGAUGGUUUAACAGUGCACUCCCACACAAUUCAACUACGCAAGGGAGAUUCACUUAACAUAUGCAGUCGUAUAACACCUACUAACAUUUUCAAACAUUAAACCUUUAAAAAAGAGUUCUAAAGAAAUAGAAGCAUGAAGUAUCAUCUCUCAAGUAUAUAGACACUACUUCAUGGUGUGGUAAUAUAUGCAUAUAGAAGCUAGUAAAUACCUCCAGGAGAUGCAAAAGGAAUUAGAACUGCCACAAGGUGCAAGC